rnacentral:rRNA from 1 species
CCUACGGGAGACAGCAGUGGGGAAUAUUGCACAAUGGGGGAAACCCUGAUGCAGCGACGCCGCGUGAGUGAAGAAGUAAUUCGUUAUGGAAAGCUCUAUCAGCCGGGAAGAAAAUGACGGUACCUGAGUAAGAAGCCCCGGCUAACUACGUGCCAGCAGCCGCGGUAAUACGUAGGGGGCAAGCGUUAUCCGGAUUUACUGGGUGUAAAGGGAGCGUAGACGGCAGUGCAAGUCUGGAGUGAAAGGCGGGGGCUCAACCCCCGGACUGCUCUGGAAACUGUACGGCUGGAGUGCAGGAGAGGUAAGUGGAAUUCCUAGUGUAGCGGUGAAAUGCGUAGAUAUUAGGAGGAACACCAGUGGCGAAGGCGGCUUACUGGACUGUAACUGACGUUGAGGCUCGAAAGCGUGGGGAGCAAACAGGAUUAGAUACCCCUGUAGUC